AAAAACUUGAAUUGCAACGAGUGGCACGAAAUGGCUCUCUCAAAUGGGAGGUCAUGAGUGGAUCUCCAGUGAGGCGGUAUUAACUCUUUGUGUUUUAGUA